AGAGUUUGAUCAUGGCUCAGAAUCAACGCUGGCGGCGUGCCUCAGACAUGCAAGUCGAACGCGAAAGCUCCCUUCGGGGAGCAAGUAGAGUGGCGCACGGGUGAGUAACACGUAGGUAAUCUACCUUUGGAUGGGGAAUAACACCGAGAAAUCGGUGCUAAUACCGCAUAAUGCAGCGGCACCUAAUGGUGACAGUUGUUAAAGCGGGGGAUCGCAAGACCUCGCGUCUAAAGAGGAGCCUGCGGCGGAUUAGCUAGUUGGUAAGGUAAUGGCUUACCAAGGCGAUGAUCCGUAACCGGCCUGAGAGGGCGGUCGGUCACACUGACACUGACAUACGGGUCAGACUCCUACGGGAGGCAGCAGUCGGGAAUUUUGGGCAAUGGGCGAAAGCCUGACCCAGCAACGCCGCGUGAAGGAUGAAAUCCCUCGGGAUGUAAACUUCGCAAGAACAGGAAGAAUAAGUAAGGGUUAAUAUCUCUUACGAUGACGGUACUGUUUGUAAGCUCCGGCUAACUCCGUGCCAGCAGCCGCGGUAAUAC
rnacentral:rRNA from 1 species